CGGGAUGUAGCGCAGCCUGGUAGCGCACUUGCUUCGGGAGCAAGGGGCCGCUGGUUCGAAUCCAGUCAUCCCGACCA
rnacentral:tRNA from 3 species